AUUGAACGCUGGCGGCAUGCCUUACACAUGCAAGUCGAACGGCAGCACGGGUGCUUGCACCUGGUGGCGAGUGGCGAACGGGUGAGUAAUACAUCGGAACAUGUCCUGUAGUGGGGGAUAGCCCGGCGAAAGCCGGAUUAAUACCGCAUACGAUCUACGGCUGAAAGCGGGGGACCUUCGGGCCUCGCGCUAUAGGGUUGGCCGAUGGCUGAUUAGCUAGUUGGUGGGGUAAAGGCCUCCCAAGGCGACGAUCAGUAGCUGGUCUGAGAGGACGACCAGCCACACUGGGACUGAGACACGGCCCAGACUCCUACGGGAGGCAGCAGUGGGGAAUUUUGGACAAUGGGCGAAAGCCUGAUCCAGCAAUGCCGCGUGUGUGAAGAAGGCCUUCGGGUUGUAAAGCACUUUUGUCCGGAAAGAAAUCCUUGGCCCUAAUACGGUCGGGGGAUGACGGUACCGGAAGAAUAAGCACCGGCUAACUACGU
rnacentral:rRNA from 1 species